CGGGGCAUAGCUCACUGGUAGAGCAUUCGACUACUGAUUGAGAGGUCCCUGCUUCAAACCUGGGUGCUCCCU